GAGUUAUAAAAUGAUAAUUUUAAUUUUUAGGGCACGUUUUCUAGAAUGAUCUUGAAUCUUCUUGAUUGAAAAUUGAAAAUUGAAACUAGAAAAUGGGUGUUUAAUUUUUCCACUUUGAAAAAGAAUUUAAUAGAAAAUAGUGAGAGACGAAGACCUGAUGCAUGCCCCUUCAUUGGGUCAAUGUUGGUGCAACUCAACUAACCACCACGCCAUGGCCCGCCACGAGAAAGUUGUUAAAAGGAAGAAGAAGAAGAAACAUAGCAAUAAUGGCUUGCACGGAGUUUUGCAUCGACCUCAUGGGUCUUCUGAUGGCGCUGGUGAUUGCUCUCACUCUCAUAGUUAUCUGCUCCAACCCUAAGAGGCAGGUUGUAGUGUAUCGCUAUGUUUGAUCUUUCUAUCUCAACUUUUCUUAUUCAUUCUUUGCUUCCAUUAUUAGGUCAAUUUUCAUUUUUCUUCCUCUUUUUCUCACUUUUUUCUCAAGAUGUAUGUCCCAUAUUCUUCUUCUCUGCCUCUCAUGGCUGAAUAGAUACUCUGUAUAUACAAUUGAAAUCAAUAAAAGAAACGGUGUUUUUGAUCA